rnacentral:rRNA from 1 species
GAUGAACGCUAGCUACAGGCUUAACACAUGCAAGUCGAGGGGAAACGAUAUUGGAAGCCUGCUUCCGAUAGGCGUCGACCGGCGCACGGGUAAGUAACGCGUAUCCAACCUGCCCACCACUUGGGGAUAACCUUGCGAAAGUAAGACUAAUACCCAAUGACGUCUCUAGAAGACAUCUGAAAGAGAUUAAAGAUUUAUCGGUGAUGGAUGGGGAUGCGUCUGAUUAGCUUGUUGGCGGGGUAACGGCCCACCAAGGCGACGAUCAGUAGGGGUUCUGGGAGGAAGGUCCCCCCCAUUGGAACUGAGACACGGUCCAAACUCCUACGGGAGGCAGCAGUGAGGAAUAUUGGUCAAUGGGCGAGAGCCUGAACCAGCCAAGUAGCGUGCAGGAUGACGGCCCUAUGGGUUGUAAACUGCUUUUAUAAGGGAAUAAAGUGAGUCUCGUGAGACUUUUUGCGUGUACCUUAUGAAUAAGGACCGGCUAAUUCCGUGCCAGCAGCCGCGGUAA